UGAAGAGGAGGGGAACCCAAAUUUGUAAUCUGGCUUUUUUAUAAGGUUCCGAGUUGUAUUUGAGAACUGUUUUCUGUGUUGGACCAUGUACAAGUCUGUUGGAAAACAGCAUCAUUGAGGGUGAUAAUCCCGUACAUGAUAUGGACUACCAGUGCAAUAUGAUACAGUCUCUAAGAGUCGAGUUGUUUGGGAAUGCAGCUCAAAGUGGGUGGUAAAUUCCAUCUAAGGCUAAAUAUAGGUGAGAGACCGAUAGCAAACAAGUACCGUGAGGGAAAGAUGAAAAGAACUUUGGAAAGAGAGUUAACAGUACGUGAAAUUGUUAAAAGGGAAACAUUUGAAGUUAGACUUGUUAUUAUUGGUUCAGCUUCUUUUUUUAAUUAGGAGUCUAUUCCAAUGGUUGACAGACCAGCAUCAAUUUUUGAGUGUUAGAUAAGGGUCUUGAAAAAGGGGCAACUUUGGGUGGGGUAUAACUCCUGGCUUGAUAAUAUGGUUAAGAAUGGAGAAACCCAUGGGC
rnacentral:rRNA from 1 species